rnacentral:rRNA from 1 species
AUUGAACGCUGGCGGCAUGCUUUACACAUGCAAGUCGAACGGUAACAGGGUGCUUGCACCGCUGACGAGUGGCGAACGGGUGAGUAAUGCGUCGGAACGUGCCGAGUAGUGGGGGAUAACGCAGCGAAAGUUGUGCUAAUACCGCAUACGUACUGAGGUAGAAAGUGGGGGACCUUCGGGCCUCACGCUAUUCGAGCGGCCGGCGGCUGAUUAGCUAGUAGGUGGGGUAAAGGCUCACCUAGGCGACGAUCAGUAGCGGGUCUGAGAGGAUGAUCCGCCACACUGGGACUGAGACACGGCCCAGACUCCUACGGGAGGCAGCAGUGGGGAAUUUUGGACAAUGGGCGAAAGCCUGAUCCAGCCAUGCCGCGUGUCUGAAGAAGGCCUUCGGGUUGUAAAGGACUUUUGUCAGGGAGGAAAUCCCUAGUGCUAAUAACACUGGGGGAUGACAGUACCUGAAGAAUAAGCACCGGCUAACUACGUGCCAGCAGCCGCCGUAACAC